UAUCUCCAUAAUUUUCAAAGAUGCAGCAGUUUCAAGCUCCAGCUUUCAGGGGUCAAGGAUCUGAACUUUUAACCUCAAGCCAUCAUCCCAGAAGUUGUCACCUUACCGAGAACACCUCCCCAGCUCCUGCAACGCCCUAGAGGGAAACAAAGCAGAGGGGGUGUGAACUUCUUAUCUGAGGACAAGAACAGGGAGGAACUUUUAGUAGAGGCUUCUGGCAAACUUGCCCACUUGAGAAGGUAACCUCUCGGAGGAAACGUGUUUUUGUAAUUUUUCCCUUCUUGGAUCCCCUGGGAGUCAAUCAAGAGAAAGAAAGUGGGGGGAUUCUGUCUGAGAGAGAGGGUGCUCCUCUGGGUGGGAGCCCUCACAGCGCUGUUCUCACAUGUCUGAAGGAGUGGAUGGAAUGCCUUGGAGCUUCUGGAAAGUACUUCUUGUGAGGGAAAAGGGAAUGAACUGGCAAUAUUUUCCCCAAGGAUGAGAAGCCCAGGGGGACAUGGCUAUGGCCUUUGGGACUCCCCGCAUUGUCACUCCAAGAAAGGAAAAGACUUGCUCUGUCUGCCUCCGAGGCAUACUGGGUGGGAGAAGCAGGACAGGUCUUACUCAGAAGUAAGGAGGAACUUGCUCAGUAGGUAAUGCGCUGCCAUCACUUUCAGCAGACAGGUGGCCAUCAACACUUACGAAGGAGAAAGUCCCUGCAGAGGCUGAGACUCUGUGGCUCCCUGUUUGGGUGGAGAGUCCCCUCAAUAGGAAUGAGGAGGUGGGAGGGCAGCCCCCUGGGGGCUUCUGGGGAAGGCUUAACUCUCUCAGUGUCCUAAAGGAGGAACAAGUGCUCCAGGUGUGUUGGGCAGCUUAGGGGCAGGAGCUUGCUUGUGGCUGGGACUAAUCUUGACCUGCUGGGGAGGGGGACACAGCCAUGAAAAUGCUAAGAGCUGAUAAUAAAUAACCUCCAAGGCUGCUGCUAGCCUGUUCCAUCAGUUGCAUGAAUUAGAAUCAGAUGCUCCCUCUCUACAAGAGGAUGGCACCCUAGUGCCAUUUAGAAAAAGGGCCUCAGAGUUCUUGUUGUGGCUCAGCGGCAAUGAAUCUGACUAGUAUCCAUGAAGAUGUGGGUUCGAUCCCUGGUCUUGCUCAGUGGGUUAAGGAUCUGGUGUUGCUGCAAGCUGCAGCGUAGGUCACAGACAUGGCUCAGAUCUGAUCUUGCAGUGGCUGUGGAGUAGGCUGGCAACUGGAGCUCCGAUUUGGCCCUUAAUCCGGGAUCUUCCAUAUGCCUUAGGUGCAGCCCUGAAAAGCAAAAAACAUAAUAAUAAAUAAAUAAAAAGAAAAAGGGUCCUCAUCUGGGUGGACAUAGCUGGGCAGGCAGCAUGUGAGCUGGAUUCAUCCUCACCACCCCUUGUUAGGUGUAUUUGAUCAUACACCACCUAUACAACCGUACACAACAGCCCUGAUAAACCAUAAUUGAGGGCUUAACAUUUGCCAAGUUUUUUUUUUUUUUUUCCCCAGAAAACCAGUUUGCCUCUAUUAAGUCAUUCAAUCUUCACAGUAGCCCAGUGACAUAGGUAUUGAUGUCCCCAUUUUAUACUGGAGGAAACCAAGGUACCAAGAAGUAACGUAUUCGGAAGCUCGAAUGCUAAGCCCCAGUCACUGAGCAGUCACAGAACAAGAAGUAGAUUGAGCUUCAAAAGCUAGUUUGAUUGAGGCCCUCAUGAGAAAGAAGAAAGAUUGCUCUUUUCUGUCUCUAUCAAAGGAAGUAAUACCCACUCUCAGCUCAGAAGGAAGAAGAUGGAAAGCUCAUCUGGCAGCUGAAAGAAAGGAAGGAAAGAGGCAGGCCUGGCCCCAGCCUCCAAAGGCUUACCUUCUGAAUUGCUUGGUAGUAGGAGGUGGCAAAUCCAGUUUGGCCCCUGGCAUGAGGGUGAUGAGUAAGUGCUGCCUGGGUGUGGUGUGGAGGGAAAAGGCCCUACAGGGCCUCUGACCUGGGCAGCAAUGGGCAAUAGCAGAAAUUUCUGAAGAUGCUGUUCUGAUGCUAUCCUGUCCAGUGGUGUUCACCUGCAAAUGCCCUUCCCAAGCUCUUCCAGGAAGCCUUUCCAAAAUGCCAUUUCACAGCAGCAUAUACAUUAUCUCUUAUUUUUCACUCUAUACAUCUCAGUACUUAAUUAGCUAGAAUCAAGAAUUUUAUUACAGACACUCUAUAGACAGUAUUUUAAACAAAAUAAGCUUCUCAGCCAAUGAGAAAGUCAUGAUAUCUCUUGGAAAGGGUAGGCUGGUGCCCAACACAUUUCCCAGAAGGAUGAUGUUUACUCUACAUCAUGUCACCUGUCCCAGGGUCUUGCUCUUAGCUGUGCCCACUGGGAAAUCCUAGCUCCACAGUUUUUAGAAAGGUUUGGACUUGGGCUACUGAGUUAUCUCAAGAGAGCUCCCAGAAGUGGGUAUACAAAUAAGAUUGCUUGUGUAUCAAUUUGCAAGGAGACUUUGUCACCAUCAUGCAGACUGGGUGAUACCUGGCAAGCCACAUGGGAAACCAUGGAUCAGAAGGCAGCUUGUGCUUGGCAAGCUGGAUUCAAAUCAGAGUAAGGGACUAAUGGUCCCAUAGCAUGGGCUCUGUUUGCUUCCUUGGCCCUCUUGCCAAUGAGAAGAUACCCUCAUGGUAGACCAGUACUCCUAUGUAUCUCCUUGGCCAGUCCCUUCAGUGCAGUGUUUACCAGUAGGACUUCUCCCUGUCCUCUUUCAUAAUUUAGCAGUUUUAACUUUACUCACUUAUUUAGUGCUUUAUAAGCAUUAGCUCCCAACUACAUUGAGUUGCAUUUGCACAAGUUAAAGAACCACUAUAAAAUUUUGGGGUUGUAAGUUCAGACCACAGGGGUAAAUGCUAUAUUCUAUGUGCAAAUCAAGGGGAUGGUCAGAUGGAUGGGUCAACCAGAAGUCAAGGGUAGAGCUGAUGGUCCCCAAUCAGCACAGAUGCUCGAGGAAAUGGAAGCUCCAAUUACUGUAGCCCCUGUGUGAGCCUGGGGGUGAAGCAGUCCUAAGGCAGUGCUUGCUUUGGCUGCCUUAGCCACCUGGCCUGCCCCACUGGCCUCUUUGGAUUUAAAGCACUGUUCCUGCUCUCAGUCCAGACCUGGCUCAUCUUUAGUAAGCCACAGCCUCCAGGUGCCCCAGAGCCAAGAAGGAAUGACUCACAAGGGCUUUGGUGUAGGGCAGACUGGGAUUGAGUCCUAGCUCCACUGUGCAGGAGUUAAGUUUCCUCAGUAGUUGGGCAAGUGCUUUGACUAUUCCAAGCUUUGAUUUUGUCAGGAAAAAUGGGGGUAACCCCUCACAGGGCCUGCGUAGAAUGCACUGAGCACAGUGCCUGGCGCAGAGCAGCAUCUGGCUAGUAGGAGCUCUUAAAGACAGUAGAGGUCAUCGAACAUCUACAUUCUCUGCCAGAUGGGGACCCUCACUUCCCCAUUAAUGCCCCUGUUCCCUCCUCUGAGGCCUGGGCAGAGGGCCAGGCCACAGGGACCCAGGUGGUGAGAAAGAGAUCAUUGGUACCCUUGCAUGUGGUUCGUUCGUAGCUGAGGACAAAGCUGCCCAUCCUGACCUUUCCACCAUUGCUGGGGGAGGGAAAGUCAGGUUUGCUGUGUGGUCUGAAUCGGUACCCAGAGGCAAGAGAAGGAUGAGAAGUUUUUCUAGGAGAGGAAGGAGAAUCAUUUGGGAGCUCCCCAGAGGUGUGCAGGAUCCUCCUGAGCAGUCUGGGCCCUGUGACAUUGUCCUGUAGAAAGUGCUAUCCCCCUCCAUCCAUACGACCUACCCUGUGACAUCAGUGGAAUGGAAGCACCUCAUAGGUGACAUCACUGUUGCCCGAGGCAACACCUCCACCUUAAGUUGAACAGGGAGGACCAAGAACCACCCAACUGUAAGACACACUUUGAAGGGGAGGAACACAGGAGGUGUAACAUCCAUGGUAUGUUUCUCAGAGGAUGGGCCAGGGAAGAGGGUGGGGCCAUGAGCCAGUUGGUGGAGGGUCUUCGGGCCUUGGAUCUAGCCCCAAGGGAACAGGGCACAGAGCUGACAGCUGCUGUCUUGCUUAGUUCUCGGAGCAAAAAGCAAGACUUCUAAGGGUUUCUGUGGCUCCCAUGGCUCUGGGCCUCCCUUCCACAGCCUGAAUCAAUCUGUGAAGGAAGUGGUGCAAGAGUAGGCCAGGGCAGUGAUGGGGGGUCGGAAAAGUGGCUUUCCCUUCUUCACUGACACCCCCAAAGGAACGUGAGAAACAAGAGCACCCACAUCCUUCUAUGGGGGCUGACUUAAGAGGGAAUCUUCACUCCUUGAUGGAGUGAGUAUGUACUUCGUAUGCAUCUAAGAUGUGCUAAGGAUUCCAUUGUGAUCAAAUGUGCAUAGAGGAGGAAUGUCUGGAAUCCACUGACCCAAGAGUUGGUACCAGCUUGAAAUAGAGGCAGGGUCUCAGAGUUCACCUCUCACCCAGCUCUGGCAUCCCCAGGGAAUUCUAGGUGGACUAAAUGAAACUGGAACUCCCUCCCCUGAGUAGUUCAUGAAGGAAUUCAGGGGUGUCUGAGCUAUAUCUGAGAUUUGGGGAGUGGUAUUAGAACAGCCAGGGGUGUCCACGGUGUCCUGCCAAGGGACAGAAUCCCACAAAGUCUGAGUGUCAAAGGGGAGAAGCAACAGCCAGAUCACCGAUCCCAGGUCCCCUCCUGCUGCCACUGGCUCUGUGAUAUUAACAGAUGGGGGCUCAGUCUCCCAGUCUUUUUAAUGGGGACAGUAAUAUUCAGAGCACUUUGAGAUCCUCAGAUGGAAAUCCCUAGAAAAAAAAUUCAAAGCUCACAAUUUCCAACUCACUUCCAGGUGAAUAACACUGGGACACUCACUACCGCUCAGCUUCCCAUGGAAGCUCUCCUGGACUUUCUCCCUCCGGGUCAUUUCCCUGCAGCAGAUGCAGGAGGGUCUCCUAUAAGCUGCAUCAAACCGAGGGGAGGGCGUGGUCAGAAUUUUGGCCCUGCUUGUUGGUGCAAAACCAUGUGCUCAUAACAAACUCUUCUCCCGGGAUCCUGUUUCAAGAGCCUUCUUAGGAGCAGUCAGAGGACCCGCCUGAAGUUCAUGAACAGGUCCUUUGUUUGCAGAGACUUUGUUUGAGAGUCCCUGAGGGAGGCGGGAUGUAGCAUGCCUGGGCUGGAGACAGCCCCACCCCCACACCCACCCCGUGCACUGCCCGCCCCGCAUCCCCCCAAUGCAUGUUUGCCUCUUCCUCCCAGAUGUCUCCCCUCCAAACAGAGCCCCCAGGCUCAGAGGAGCCCUCACUCCCUUUUCCUCACCCACUGCAGAGGAGGUUUCCUGCACUUUUGGCUGAAAAGCCAGCUCAGAUAUCCCAGUUUACACUCCUUGAAUCUCUGGGUGGAAGGCACCAUUAAGUCUAACUCACUGCUUCAUGCCCAGAUAGCACCUAAAUUGUAACCUGCUUUUCCCAACACAAUACAGGGAAGGAGAGCCCAUAGAUGCCUAUUUAAUGUUUCAUGGAUACCAAUUCACUGAGUAGCACUGUAUCCUGGGAAGUUGGGAGACUCGAAAGUCAGACAGUCCUGGGUUUGAAUCCCAGCUCGUGAUGUUGAAUGAGUGGCCUACCCUCUCUGUGCCUGUUUCUUUAUGAGGAUAGGGCCUCCUUCAGGGGUUUAUUGUGAGGUAAAGCAUUUUGCACAAUGCUUACAUCGCAGUAAGUGCAGUGCAUUGGUAGCAUUGCUCUGCUAAACCUUCCUGUGGCUGUCAGAGGCAUGUGGCUGAUCUGGUGCGCUCCAGAAAGAGAAUUGUUAGUUACUCUAGCAAGGGCUGUUUCUCUCUUCUCUUGCCUAAUUUGCACCGAACCCUGUAGUCCUCCAUGUGUCUUCCAUUUCUUUAAGGCUCUCAAGCAAGGAGGUGGCUGUCAAGGAAGGAGGCAGCUGGGGGUCAUAUGUUCAUUCCUGGGUCAUUCUUGGUCAGUGUCAGUAGUGAGUCAGGUGCCUUUAGAUGAAGGCUGUCCGGACCUAAAGUGGCUCUGAUCUGUCUCUAGGGAAGCAUCGGGAAGGGUUUUUACUCACAUUUCCUGAAGUGCUUACAGUGUUAGAGCUUUGCUUUUCUGAUGGGAGGGUGCCUCAGGAAAAAAUGUAGAAGUUACUUCAUCCAAGAAUGGCCCACUCCACUCCCUUGUCAAAUUCCUGCUCCUGGGAGGAAAAGCACUGAGGUUCUGUUCCCAGUCCUGAUUCCUUUUAUUCAUUCACUUAUUCAUUCAUUCGUUCAGCAAGAAUUCAUUGAGCGCCUGCACUUUUAAUGCUGAGCAUCAGAAACCAGGAGUUCCCAUCAUGGCUCAGUGGUAAACGAAUCCGACUAAGGAACCAUGAGAUUGUGGAUUCAAUCCCUGGCCUUGCUCUGUGUGUUAAGGAUCCAGCAUUGCUGCGAGCUGUGGUGUAGGUCGCAAUCAUGACCUGGAUCCCGCAUUGCUGUGGCUCUGGCGUAGGCCGGUGGCUACAGCACCUAUUAGACUCCUAGCCUGGGAACCUCCAUAUGCCGCAGGUGCAGCCCUAGAAAAGACCGAAAAAAAAAGAAAAAA
ensembl:lncRNA